rnacentral:rRNA from 1 species
GAUGAACGCUGACAGAAUGCUUAACACAUGCAAGUCAACUUGAAUUUGGGUUUUUAACUUAGAUUUGGGUGGCGGACGGGUGAGUAACGCGUAAAGAACUUGCCUCACAGCUAGGGACAACAUUUAGAAAUGAAUGCUAAUACCUGAUAUUAUGAUUUUAAGGCAUCUUAGAAUUAUGAAAGCUAUAAGCACUGUGAGAGAGCUUUGCGUCCCAUUAGCUAGUUGGAGAGGUAACAGCUCACCAAGGCGAUGAUGGGUAGCCGGCCUGAGAGGGUGAACGGCCACAAGGGGACUGAGACACGGCCCUUACUCCUACGGGAGGCAGCAGUGGGGAAUAUUGGACAAUGGACCGAGAGUCUGAUCCAGCAAUUCUGUGUGCACGAUGAAGUUUUUCGGAAUGUAAAGUGCUUUCAGUUGGGAAGAAAUAAAUGACGGUACCAACAGAAGAAGUGACGGCUAAAUACGUGCCAGCAGCCGCGGUAAUACGUAUGUCACGAGCGUUAUCCGGAUUUAUUGGGCGUAAAGCGCGUCUAGGUGGUUAUGUGAGUCUGAUGUGAAAAUGCAGGGCUCAACUCUGUAUUGCGUUGGAAACUGUAUAACUAGAGUACUGGAGAGGUAAGCGGAACUACAAGUGUAGAGGUGAAAUUCGUAGAUAUUUGUAGGAAUGCCGAUGGGGAAGCCAGCUUACUGGACAGAUACUGACGCUAAAGCGCGAAAGCGUGGGUAGCAAACAGG